rnacentral:rRNA from 1 species
UGCCUAGUAACGGCGAGUGAAGCGGCAACAGCUCAAAUUUGAAAUCUGGCCCUCGCGGUCCGAGUUGUAAUUUGUAGAGGAUGCUUUGGGCGCGGCGCCUUCCGAGUUCCCUGGAACGGGACGCCAGAGAGGGUGAGGGCCCCGUACGGUUGGACGCCUAGCCUAUGUAUAGCUCCUUCGACGAGUCGAGUAGUUUGGGAAUGCUGCUCUAAAUGGGAGGUAAAUUUCUUCUAAAGCUAAAUACCGGCCAGAGACCGAUAGCGCACAAGUAGAGUGAUCGAAAGAUGAAAAGCACUUUGAAAAGAGGGUUAAAUAGCACGUGAAAUUGUUGAAAGGGAAGCGUUUGCGACCAGACCUUCUCCGGGGGGAUCAUCCGGUGUUCUCACCGGUGCACUCCCCUCGGUCUAGGCCAGCAUCGGUUUCCUUAGGGGGAUAAAGGCCUGGGGAACGUAGCUCCUUCGGGAGUGUUAUAGCCCCUUGCGUAAUACCCCUCGGGGGACCGAGGACCGCGCUUCGGCAAGGAUGCUGGCGUAAUGGUCGUCAACGACCCGUCUUGAAACACGGACCAAGGAGUCGAACAUUUGUGCGAGUGUUUGGGUGUUAAACCCUCACGCGUAAUGAAAGUGAACGGAGGUGAGAGCCCUCGCGGGUGCAUCAUCGACCGAUCCUGAUGUCUUCGGAUGGAUUUGAGUAAGAGCAUAACUGUUCGGACCCGAAAGAUAGUGAACUAUGCGUGGAUAGGGUGAAGCCAGAGGAAACUCUGGUGGAGGCUCGCAGCGGUUCUGACGUGCAAAUCGAUCGUCAAAUCUGCGCAU